GCUUUCCUGUGGCUCAGUUGGUAGAGCAUUGCGCUAACAACACAAAAGGUCAUGGGUUUAAAUACAAGGGCAAGCA